ensembl:rRNA 5S_rRNA 5S ribosomal RNA
GUCUAUUGACACACCAACCUGAACGUGCCUGAUCUCGUCUAAUCUUGGAAGCUAAGCGGGGCUGGGCCUGGUAAGUACUUGGAUGGGAGAAUUAUAGUUAACAUCAAAAGGAAUCACUUGAGU